rnacentral:tRNA from 1 species
GCUGAUGUAGCUCAAUUGGUAGAGCAGUUGAUUUGUAAUCAGAAGGUUAUCGGUUCAAGUCCGUUCUUCAGCU